rnacentral:rRNA from 1 species
UACGGAGGGUGCGAGCGUUGUCCGGAAUCACUGGGCGUAAAGGGCGCGUAGGUGGCCUGUGGAAGUCUGCGGUGAAAGCCCGGCGCUCAACGCCGGGUCGGCCGUGGAUACUCUCGGGCUUGAGCUUACUAGAGGCAGAUGGAAUUCCACGUGUAGCAGUGAAAUGCGUAGAGAUGUGGAGGAAUACCGAUGGCGAAGGCAGCCCCCUGGGCCAAUACUGACGCUCAUGCACGAAAGCGU